GGGGUGGGGCGGCGAGGAGAGGUCACGGCCCCGACAGGCCGCUUACCGGCUUGUGCUUUUCGAUCCGGCCGGCUCGAGGGGCUUGGGAUUCCGGGGAGCCCCGGGGGUCUAGGGGCCCGGAGUCCCAGGAACUCCAGAGUUCUCGGGUGGGGGCGGGGGGGCCCGGGGGACUCGGAAGGUCUCAGGGUCUUGGGGAUCUCAGGGGCCGGGGAACUCCAGGACUCUGGGGUUCUCGAGGGCCCAGGGCGGUCUCAGGGCGGGGUGUUUGCCUCAGGAUCCCGGAGGAUUCGGGGCACCGUGGUCGUGGCCCGCUGGCGUGGGCUCCCCAGGAACCGACGCCCUGGUUUUGCGUUUUCUGCGGCCUACACCGACUCUGGACUUGUGAAUGCAGCGAAAUCUUAAUGAAUGAGUAAUGCCACAGCAGAGUCGUCCGCGGGGUGGGGGCUACCAAUCUCCCCACCCCGGCCCCGGCCCCGCCCCCGGUCUGCGAAGCCAGACCCAGGUCCCCUGACGGUUGCCUUGCAUGGAUUCCUCUGAAAAAUCAGAUAUUUCCAGUCCCAACUUCUCUCUCAAUGCCAGUCUGACAUUUCCAAUCAAUUGUGAAAUGCCCACCUGUGUGAUUUCAGAUGUGUCAAACCGGGCAUUUCUGAAAAUCAAAAACUUGUCUUCUCCCUGUAAGUAGACCUAUCCUCACACUGCCAUGCCAGAGGGCAGCCCGCGCCCUGACUCCCCUGCAGACUGCAGAAAAAGGACUUGCUAAGUCCCAAGAACACAGGGCAGAGAAGACAAAGCCUGAUCCAAGGCAGAGGGUUGCAAUUAGCCCCACAAAGUGCAUUAGGAACAUCAAGGGGGGGCCGGUGGAGACAAGCCCUCUGGCGUCUGACAGAGGAGAAAGUUGAUAAGGGAGGUGCAUCUGGACACUUACUACCGUAACUUCUGCUAACAGUGCGGCGACUCCCUCAGGUAACACAUGUCGUGGUAAGCCUAUGGACUUGUGACCAUGUGCUGAGCACUAUUCGAAGCGCUUAACUACGUAUUAACUCAUUUAAUUCCUACAACCCCACAAGGUGGGUGGGUAAACCAAGGCACGGGAAGCUGCUCACUAGCCUGUGGUCAAACAGUUAACGGUGGCAGAGUUGGGUUUGAACCCAGGUGGCCUGGCCCAGCAUUUUUGUUCUUGACCAUUAGCUGUUCUGCUUCUCUGGCACCUUCUCAGACCUUUCAACAAGUCCUAUUGUUGUUACAGAAACUUCCUAUGUUCCGAAGUUGAAAAUAAUUUUGAAUCACGAUUCUCUCAGUUAUUAACCAUAAUGCCCUUUUUUGUGUUAUCAGGAGGUUAGAUAAAUAUGCCUCCUAUGUCUCCGUGGCACUUGCACAGAAAGCCUCUGGGAUAAUCAGGACUCUGUGGCCACAGUCACCUGCUGAACUGCUGGACAGCCCCGCAGAGCUCUGCUGGUGCCCUUCCUCUCCCUCGGGUGCCCGUGAGUUCCCUCAGCCUCUCCCGUCGCCCUCACGCUUACGUGGCCGGAUCCUCCUUGAAAAUCCAAUAGUUAGAGAUUCUCGGCUCCCACAUGUGGCAAUGAAAUCAUCCCUCCGAGCGCGUCGUCAUGCACAAUCUGAGUUCUUUGCUAGCUUUGUAAGGGACAAGAACCAGCACACGAACAGAAGAGACGUAUGGAACACCCUCCGGUCAUCGUGCGUCUAUGGGUGUGACGUUGGGGGAGGGGCCGUGGGAAAACGAAGCCCCUCGCAGGAGCUGCGCAGCCGGGAGGCGUGUCUGAACGCCCAAGCCCCGCGGUCCGGAGCCGCACAGCCCGGAGGAGGUGCCCAGCAUCGCACACCACCUGCAUGGUGAUGAGAAUCAUCGUCCUUCCCUUUGCACCUGCCCUUUGCCUGGCUCAGCGUGGCUUCCUGGGGACAGGUGUGUGUCCCGAAGCACUAAGAGGCAGCUGGUGUCUGGGGGCCCUUUUAGAGGAGAGUCGGAGAAGCCACCUGCAGUGAAGGCAGGUCACCAAUUCUUGAGCUGAUUUCCACCGUGUUUGAAGAUGUCUGGUGACUUGGGCUCCUCAGAGGGUGAGCCUCGUGGCGGAAGUAAGCCUUGGCUGUGGCGAAGGACCCUCAAGGGUGCCCUGCGGUGCUUCCUGGCAACUUCGGCCAGUCGGGGUCCGUCACGGCAACAGGCUGUCUUCCACGCCUGUUGUGCGGAAUUGGUCUUCUCUGUUGUACUUUCUUGUUGCUGUGAUUCUCACAGAUGAAAAGUACGUUUUGCAGCAGAAUCUGUGCCUGGGGAAUGUGAUCAAACUUCUUGCCUAAAAGGAGCCUUUGUGUGGGUGUUCGUACUUCACCUUGCGUAGCUGUGCGGUAUCAGUGUUAGGACCCUGCCCGUCCGUGAACACUUCUGAUCCACUUGCCACAGGCCGGUGGCUUGGCGCAAGCCAAGCCUGCUGUGCGGUCACCUUUCGCUCACUGAGUCACCAUCACGGGACCUUGACCACCUACCUGCCCCUCCCGUGCACCUCGUCGCAGUGCUUGGUGAUGGGGCUGCCGUUUGCUGUUCCAGACCGGCCGGCCACACCUCCACACAGCGGGACGCGUCCGCCCUGCGGUGCGGAGCCGCCUCCUUCCUCCUGCGCUCCAGCCUCACCGCUCACAGUGUUUGCCCUACGAGUUCCUUCUUUCAAGGAAUGGUCGGUUAGGCUCGUCUUUCGGAGUCCGGGGCUGUUACGGCAGGCACCGGUGGCCGGCAGAGGCCUGGCUUAACCGGACGGCCCAAGGACUCUCUGCAGCAACUCACUACUCAUCCUCAUCCGGAGAACAUCUGGUUCCGUGCUACAACUUCCCAGCUAGAAGUCACUUGUUCACACGUUUCAGAUACAAAAUGUAAAAACCAAGACCCUUCUUAGGAUGCGCUACGGCACAGCGAUUGUGGCCCAUUGUGUCAGAGUCUCGAAAACGGCCACAGGGUAUGUCUGGGGAUACCCAGGAGGCCCCAUCCUGUGUGGGAGCAGCAUUCCCAAACUUUUGGGGAAUGCGGCCUGAGAAAGCUCGUAAAGCUGCAGACCGUGCGUGAAUGUGGGGAGAGUCAGAAUGCCUUCUCGGCCUUUCUGAUGGAGGCCGAGGGAGCCAGAAGGGAGCACAGAUUCAAGAUGCGGCUGCCACAACCCGGUGAUAGAAACACAUUUGCCCGCAGUGUCAACCCCACACGUCACCAGCACCGCUUUGUAGUGAGGUAUGCAUUGUCAUCUGUCGUCUUGGUUUUGGCCACAAUUCACCUCCCUGUGGAAGUGAUGUGCUGUAAGAGAAUCCGAAAAACCAAAACGCAGAGCCCCACCAGACUCCAGGCAGUAGACCAGAUCUGGACGACGAGUGGAAAUACUUUGUGAUGCCCCAGUGUGAAUAAUAGGACACGAAUCACAGAGGAUUGUGUCUUUCCACCUGCACGCAUCCGCUGCUUGCCUGAGGCAACGGGAGAUCAUGUGUUGCUUGUGACCACCCAGUGGUUCAGAUCCAGCCCCUAUGACCUCUGGGGGCUCUCCAGGCUGGUGUGAGAAUGACAGCACCUGUAAGUAGGGUGUGAGCUGAUGGAAAGCAGUGUGCUGUGACCACAGCCCAGGACACACGUUACAGGUGACCAGAGGCAAUUGUUCGAAUCUCUCAGCAAGGCCCCUGGUGCAGCCAGCCGGUCCAGCUAACGUCACCCUCCUGAGACCCAGGUCUUGAGGGUCGUUCCCACCCCGUGCUCCCCAGUGGAGCCCGAAGGCCAGCCUGCGGCCGGCGCCCCUGACUCCUUGCAGUCAGGAACCUCCUUCUGAGCACCAGGACGUCGGCUCUUCUGGCUUUGACCUGUGAGGCUCUCCUACCACCAGGCUACGCAGCCUCCUCACGACAACAGAAUCACUGUGGAUGACGUCCACUCACCCACAACUGAAACUCACGCUACCAGGAAGAGCCGCGGGACUUGGUGGCUGGCCAGUAGACUGCAUAAAUACAAGACUCCACGUGGCUCGGCUUCACGCCAAAUGUCAGAAAGGGAAGGCCAGUGUGCCCCCCAACUCUUGGGCUUGGGGAGCGUGCACAGAGUGAGACCAAGAGGGCAAUGAGUGAAGACGGUGUGGAACAGGACAGUCUUUCCCUUCCUGUGUGACUCCUGCCGAGACCCACACGGUGGAUGGUGAGUUCCCAAGGGUGGAGCACCUGGGAGCCACCUCUCAGCCGGAUGCGGGGCUGGUGUCCCUUCCAUCCUCCAGAGGAGAGCCAGACGGCCACAUUCAUUCCUCUUGCUACACUCUUGCUCAAGGUCAGCACGCGGGGCCGCGAAUGCCGCUCACUUGUGUGGGGAGGUGGGCGCCCUUGGCCGCCGGGUGAGUAGAAACUGUCCUCGGAUCGGCUGUGGCCACGGCCACGCUAGGAUCCCACCCUCGCCCACACUUUUGAUGGGGCAACUUUUGAUUGCUGCAUUAGGCAACGCUUUGUGGCAAACAUCAGGGUCGUCAAGGAAGCGUGCCACGUUACGCUUACGACUUUAAACGACCCAGUUUCCAAAUCUACUUUGGAAUCUGAGUGAACGUGAACUAGUCCACGUCUCCGAGGUGACCCGGUGCCAAACACUUCUCCGGGUUGGAGACACUUCCCAAGCUUCCCUGUGGGCCUGUUCUUUGGACUCUUGUCAGCAGCUCCCCCAACUCUGCUAAUGAGGUUUCUGAUAUCGUUGGACUGUUCCAGAACAUUCCAUCUCAGAAACGCUGGCAAGCCUCCUGGCACCGAGAAAGAUGCUGCUUGUGAGUGACGGUCAGCCUCAGCUCUGCAUCUGGAGAACCUGGUUAUCUUGGGGUCUGUCCCCCUAAAAACCCUCCAGACUCUUUUCUGCAGCCACCUUGAAUCUCAUUCCACCUCGCGCUCACUGCACAGAAAUCAGACUCUGAACUUGCCAGGCUCCUGAGUCUGGGUGGAGUCUGGAGAUGGGUCGGGUCUGGGUUUCCCAUUCUGCAGAGCCCGCGGACUCUCCUCGCCCAGGCAGUGCUGCGCCCUGGAGCCUCUUCCAGGCCUGGCACCCUCCCCCAGCUCCCACAUCCUACGGCAGGUGCUGCCCGGCAGAGUUGUGGCUGCCGGGGACCAAGCAGGGGGACACGGAGCCGGCACCCAGGCGGCCGCUCCCGGAAGCUGGCAGAAGCAUGCUGCUGCCCGUGUAGACGCCUCCUGGCAUGGAAGGGCUGGGCCAGCGCCGGAGAUGGGAGUUCACGCCUCUGUGCGGGUGCUUAACCUUUCCUGCCUGUUGACUUAGGAGCAAAGCCAGUCAGGAAAUAGGCCCGAGAGCCAGAGGGCACCCAGCCCACGUCAACUCAGUACCAACCGAGCACCCAUUGUGCUCACCCCUGACAUCCUGCACUGCGCAAAUGUCCCCAGCAGCAGGGGAUUUGGGCCACAGAGUGAAAACCCGCAGCGGUGUGAGUCUGUGUUCUCCACAUCUCAUACCUGCCAACACCUAUAUUUUCAGAAUAGAUUUUUGAAGAGCAAA